rnacentral:rRNA from 1 species
UCCGUAGGUGAACCUGCGGAGGGAUCAUUACACAAAUAUGAAGGCGGGCUGGAACCUCUCGGGGUUACAGCCUUGCUGAAUUAUUCACCCUUGUCUUUUGCGUACUUCUUGUUUCCUUGGUGGGAUCGCCCACCACUAGGACAAACAUAAACCUUUUGUAAUUGCAAUCAGCGUCAGUAACAAAUUAAUAAUUACAACUUUCAACAACGGAUCUCUUGGUUCUGGCAUCGAUGAAGAACGCAGCGAAAUGCGAUAAGUAGUGUGAAUUGCAGAAUUCAGUGAAUCAUCGAAUCUUUGAACGCACAUUGCGCCCUUUGGUAUUCCAAAGGGCAUGCCUGUUCGAGCGUCAUUUGUACCCUCAAGCUUUGCUUGGUGUUGGGCGUCUUGUCUCUAGCUUUGCUGGAGACUCGCCUUAAAGUAAUUGGCAGCCGGCCUACUGGUUUCGGAGCGCAGCACAAGUCGCACUCUCUAUCAGCAAAGGUCUAGCAUCCAUUAAGCCUUUUUUUCAACUUUUGACCUCGGAUCAGGUAGGGAUACCCGCUGAACUUAAGCAUAUCAAUAAGCGGAGGAA